rnacentral:rRNA from 1 species
UACGAAGGGGGCUAGCGUUGCUCGGAAUCACUGGGCGUAAAGGGCGCGUAGGCGGACUUUUAAGUCGGGGGUGAAAGCCCAGGGCUCAACCCUGGAAUUGCCUUCGAUACUGGGAGUCUUGAGUUCGGAAGAGGUUAGUGGAACUGCGAGUGUAGAGGUGAAAUUCGUAGAUAUUCGCAAGAACACCGGUGGCGAAGGCGGCCAACUGGUCCGAUACUGACGCUGAGGCGCGAAAGCGUGGGGAGCAAACAGG